UUGCCCCUGUGAUGUCCAGCACUGGGCUCUGAUGUCGUAUGAGGACACAGUGCUCUCCGGGACCUUUGACACCCGGGGAUCUGAGGGGUUC